UACGGAGGGUGCAAGCGUUGUCCGGAUUUAUUGGGUUUAAAGGGUGCGUAGGCGGCCGAUUAAGUCAGCGGUGAAAGUUUUGGGCUCAACCCAGAAAUUGCCAUUGAUACUGGUCGGCUUGAGUAUUGCAGGGGUACAUGGAAUUGAUGGUGUAGCGGCGAAAUGCAUAGAUACCAGCAGGAACACCGGUAGCGAAGGCAUUGUACUGGGCAACCACUGACGCUGAGGCACGAAAGCGUGGGGAGCGAACAGG
rnacentral:rRNA from 1 species